AGAGGGAACCCGGUGGAAGUCCGGGACUGUCCCGCAGCGGUGAGCAGGAACGACCGCCGUCACACGCACUGAUCGAAAGAUUGGGAAGCGACGGCCAGUAGGAGCACCGCCCGGUGCGCGCCUGCGAGUCCGAAGACCU
rnacentral:ncRNA from 1 species